ACCUGCAUCGAAAGUGAUUUUGGCACUUCUAGUGGCCAGGUCAUUGAUACUGCAGGGAAAUUAUUGCAUGACAGUUUUCCCGUGUUUGGAGGUUGUUCCAGCAUACCUACCAAACCCUGUAACUUUCAUACA
rnacentral:snoRNA from 1 species